rnacentral:rRNA from 1 species
CAAUAGCGUAUAUUCAAGUUGCUGCAGUUAAAAAGCUCGUAGUUGGAUUUCGGGUGGGAAUGGCCGGUCCGCCGUUUCGGUGUGCACUUGCUACGCCCACCUUGCUGCCGGGGACGUGCUCUUGAGUUCACGCUCGGGACACGGAGUCGGCGAGGUUACUUUGAGUAAAUUAGAGUGUUCAAAGCAGGCCUACGCUCUGAAUACAUUAGCAUGGAAUAACACGAUAGGACUCUGGCCUAUCUUGUUGGUCUGUAGGACCGGAGUAAUGAUUAAGAGGGACAGUCGGGGGCAUUCGUAUUUCAUUGUCAGAGGUGAAAUUCUUGGAUUUAUGAAAGACGAACUACUGCGAAAGCAUUUGCCAAGGAUGUUUUCAUUAA